rnacentral:rRNA from 1 species
UGGGAACCUUCCCUAUGGUUCGGAAUAGCUCAGGGAAACUUGGGGUAAUACCGGAUAAGCCCUUCGGGGAAAGAUUAUCGCCAUUGGAUGGGCCCGCGUCGGAUUAGCUAGUUGGUGAGGUAACGGCUCACCAAGGCAACGAUGCGUAGCCGACCUGAGAGGGUGAUCGGCCACAUCGGAACUGAGACACGGUCCAGACUCCUACGGGAGGCAG